CUAAAGAACAACGAAUUGUGCCUAUAUUUGGAGAAAAAAAAUUAACUACUGUUCAAAGCUGUUUUGUCCCAUUAAAUAACAAUGAAGACAGGUUAAUACACAAUCAACAAUCACCUCCUUAAUUCAGAAAUUUAUGGGUGUCGUUUUGUUCCUACGAAGACAGUAGGCCCACAAGAGGAUCAGUCAUAGAAUACAACAGUUUUGAAAUAAAUAUUUCACAGGAGUGCAGAGUGGGGGCUGUCACAGAUCAAAAAAAAGUUAAAAAUCCCACAAGCAAGAGAAGAGUUUACAAGUGAAAAAAAGAAUUUUAACAUCUGCUUGCUUUUCUCUUGGGGCAUGGGGUAUCCUAGGUCCAAACCCAGUUUAACCACUUCCUAGCUGUGCGACCAUGAGCCUUGCCCAUCUGUAAACUGGGAAGUUUGUUUUGAGACCGGAGAUAACACACAUAAUAUAACUGGACCACCAGAGGCGUCUGCCAGGCAGAGGCAGAGCGGCCUCCCACUUCUUUAGUGCACGCCUCGGGCAAACUGAUCCCAGCGGCAAACCAUCGCACCGGAAAAACAGGUAGGGACGCUCGCUCCGGCUCGGCAGCCAGUCGCCAGGAGUUUCGGAAAGUGCAGCAGUCAGCACUUAGCGGCGAUUUUGCACUCAACAGCACCGAGCCAGGUGGGGACGACUCGGGGAAACUCCCACCGGCCGGGCAGAAAGAAUGCGCGUCCGAGCUCGGCGCCCCGAGCGAGGAAGCCUCCUCCCGCCUCGGUGAGGUCAUUUUCUCUUCCCGGCGGGAUGUACAACUUGACAGGUUUAUCAACAGACUUUUAGCUGGAAAAACAGAACACGGAGGCAACACACGGAGCCCCCCCCCCAAGCCAAAGCCGGAAGGAAGAAAAACAAAAAAAAGCAAAACCUUAAGCAAUUCAUUAACCUGUAAGUGAAUUAACUAAAAUUCUACCUCUCUACAAAAUAUACAGGAAGCCAAAGGAGUAAAAUACUCCAUGAAGAGGUUUGAAUCAAUUUUUUUUGUUGAUGUUAUUUUUUCUUUUCUGUAUUUUCCUUGGUACUGGGGAUCGAACUCUACCUUGUGCUUUCGAAAAAGGCGGCGGAACCACUGAGCUAAAUCCCCGGCCCUGAGUCAAUUUUACAGGUAAAGAGAGAGCUGCGGUGUAGCUCAGUGGUACAGCACUUCCCUAGCAACUGCGGGGCCCUGGGUUUGAUCCUUCACACCGCAAAAAUAGUAAUAGUAAUAAUAAAUCCAGGCUAACGGAAACAUUAAAUACUACUGCUAAUAAAUACUUGGUCCUUAAAACGUCGAAAGUAAAAGUACUAAACAAUCCUUACAUAUUCUAACUUGGAUUUAAACAGUGUGUGAUCCACGAAUUUCAAGGAAUGUGCUCCCCAAACCCGGGAAGAUUGCGACAGAAAAAUAAGUUUUCGAUGUAAAUGCUGGUAAGAUUUUAAAAUAAACUUAAAAACCCAAGUUUGUUGUUUGUUUGUUGUUAUUGGUUUUUGGUUUUUUCCUCCUAUGGCUUGGCGCAUUUACGGAAAUUCCGGAACAUUUUGUUCAGAAAACAAAUAGCAC
rnacentral:lncRNA from 1 species